rnacentral:rRNA from 1 species
GGGUUGUGAGGUUAAGCGACUAAGCGUACACGGUGGAUGCCCUGGCAGUCAGAGGCGAUGAAGGACGUGCUAAUCUGCGAUAAGCGUCGGUGAGGUGAUAUGAACCGUUAUAACCGGCGAUUUCCGAAUGGGGAAACCCAGUGUGUUUCGACACACUAUCAUUAACUGAAUCCAUAGGUUAAUGAGGCGAACCGGGGGAACUGAAACAUCUAAGUACCCCGAGGAAAAGAAAUCAACCGAGAUUCCCCCAGUAGCGGCGAGCGAACGGGGAGGAGCCCAGAGCCUGAAUCAGUGUGUGUGUUAGUGGAAGCGUCUGGAAAGGCGCGCGAUACAGGGUGACAGCCCCGUACACAAAAAUGCACAUAUUGUGAGCUCGAUGAGUAGGGCGGGACACGUGGUAUCCUGUCUGAAUAUGGGGGGACCAUCCUCCAAGGCUAAAUACUCCUGACUGACCGAUAGUGAACCAGUACCGUGAGGGAAAGGCGAAAAGAACCCCGGCGAGGGGAGUGAAAAAGAACCUGAAACCGUGUACGUACAAGCAGUGGGAGCCUCUUAAUGGGGUGACUGCGUACCUUUUGUAUAAUGGGUCAGCGACUUAUAUUCUGUAGCAAGGUUAACCGAAUAGGGGAGCCGAAGGGAAACCGAGUCUUAACUGGGCGUUAAGUUGCAGGGUAUAGACCCGAAACCCGGUGAUCUAGCCAUGGGCAGGUUGAAGGUUGGGUAACACUAACUGGAGGACCGAACCGACUAAUGUUGAAAAAUUAGCGGAUGACUUGUGGCUGGGGGUGAAAGGCCAAUCAAACCGGGAGAUAGCUGGUUCUCCCCGAAAGCUAUUUAGGUAGCGCCUCGUGAAUUCAUCUCCGGGGGUAGAGCACUGUUUCGGCAAGGGGGUCAUCCCGACUUACCAACCCGAUGCAAACUGCGAAUACCGGAGAAUGUUAUCACGGGAGACACACGGCGGCUGCUAACGUCCGUCGUGAAGAGGGAAACAACCCAGACCGCCAGCUAAGGUCCCAAAGUCAUGGUUAAGUGGGAAACGAUGUGGGAAGGCCCAGACAGCCAGGAUGUUGGCUUAGAAGCAGCCAUCAUUUAAAGAAAGCGUAAUAGCUCACUGGUCGAGUCGGCCUGCGCGGAAGAUGUAACGGGGCUAAACCAUGCACCGAAGCUGCGGCAGCGACACUAUGUGUUGUUGGGUAGGGGAGCGUUCUGUAAGCCUGUGAAGGUGGCCUGUGAGGGUUGCUGGAGGUAUCAGAAGUGCGAAUGCUGACAUAAGUAACGAUAAAGCGGGUGAAAAGCCCGCUCGCCGGAAGACCAAGGGUUCCUGUCCAACGUUAAUCGGGGCAGGGUGAGUCGACCCCUAAGGCGAGGCCGAAAGGCGUAGUCGAUGGGAAACAGGUUAAUAUUCCUGUACUUGGUGUUACUGCGAAGGGGGGACGGAGAAGGCUAUGUUGGCCGGGCGACGGUUGUCCCGGUUUAAGCGUGUAGGCUGGUUUUCCAGGCAAAUCCGGAAAACCAAGGCUGAGGCGUGAUGACGAAGCACUACGGUGCUGAAGCGACAAAUGCCCUGCUUCCAGGAAAAGCCUCUAAGCAUCAGGUAACAUCAAAUCGUACCCCAAACCGACACAGGUGGUCAGGUAGAGAAUACCAAGGCGCUUGAGAGAACUCGGGUGAAGGAACUAGGCAAAAUGGUGCCGUAACUUCGGGAGAAGGCACGCUGAUAUGUAGGUGAAGCGACUUGCUCGUGGAGCUGAAAUCAGUCGAAGAUACCAGCUGGCUGCAACUGUUUAUUAAAAACACAGCACUGUGCAAACACGAAAGUGGACGUAUACGGUGUGACGCCUGCCCGGUGCCGGAAGGUUAAUUGAUGGGGUUAGCGGUAACGCGAAGCUCUUGAUCGAAGCCCCGGUAAACGGCGGCCGUAACUAUAACGGUCCUAAGGUAGCGAAAUUCCUUGUCGGGUAAGUUCCGACCUGCACGAAUGGCGUAAUGAUGGCCAGGCUGUCUCCACCCGAGACUCAGUGAAAUUGAACUCGCUGUGAAGAUGCAGUGUACCCGCGGCAAGACGGAAAGACCCCGUGAACCUUUACUAUAGCUUGACACUGAACAUUGAGCCUUGAUGUGUAGGAUAGGUGGGAGGCUUUGAAGUGUGGACGCCAGUCUGCAUGGAGCCGACCUUGAAAUACCACCCUUUAAUGUUUGAUGUUCUAACGUUGGCCCGUAAUCCGGGUUGCGGACAGUGUCUGGUGGGUAGUUUGACUGGGGCGGUCUCCUCCUAAAGAGUAACGGAGGAGCACGAAGGUUGGCUAAUCCUGGUCGGACAUCAGGAGGUUAGUGCAAUGGCAUAAGCCAGCUUGACUGCGAGCGUGACGGCGCGAGCAGGUGCGAAAGCAGGUCAUAGUGAUCCGGUGGUUCUGAAUGGAAGGGCCAUCGCUCAACGGAUAAAAGGUACUCCGGGGAUAACAGGCUGAUACCGCCCAAGAGUUCAUAUCGACGGCGGUGUUUGGCACCUCGAUGUCGGCUCAUCACAUCCUGGGGCUGAAGUAGGUCCCAAGGGUAUGGCUGUUCGCCAUUUAAAGUGGUACGCGAGCUGGGUUUAGAACGUCGUGAGACAGUUCGGUCCCUAUCUGCCGUGGGCGCUGGAGAACUGAGGGGGGCUGCUCCUAGUACGAGAGGACCGGAGUGGACGCAUCACUGGUGUUCGGGUUGUCAUGCCAAUGGCACUGCCCGGUAGCUAAAUGCGGAAGAGAUAAGUGCUGAAAGCAUCUAAGCACGAAACUUGCCCCGAGAUGAGUUCUCCCUGAGACUUAGAGUCUCCUGAAGGAACGUUGAAGACGACGACGUUGAUAGGCCGGGUGUGUAAGCGCAGCGAUGCGUUGAGCUAACCGGUACUAAUGAACCGUGAGGCUUAACCUUACAACGCCGAAG